GAGUUUGAUCAUGGCUCAGGAUGAACGCUGGCGGCGUGCUUAACACAUGCAAGUCGAACGAAGCGCCUUAUUUGAUUUUCUUCGGAACUGAAGAUUUGGUGACUGAGUGGCGGACGGGUGAGUAACGCGUGGGGUAACCUGCCCUGUACAGGGGGAUAACAAUCAGAAAUGACUGCUAAUACCGCAUAAGACCACAGCACCGCAUGGUGCAGGGGUAAAAACUCCGGUGGUACAGGAUGGACCCGCGUCUGAUUAGCUGGUUGGUGAGGUAACGGCUCACCAAGGCGACGAUCAGUAGCCGGCUUGAGAGAGUGAACGGCCACAUUGGGACUGAGACACGGCCCAAACUCCUACGGGAGGCAGCAGUGGGGAAUAUUGCACAAUGGGGGAAACCCUGAUGCAGCAACGCCGCGUGAGUGAAGAAGUAUUUCGGUAUGUAAAGCUCUAUCAGCAGGGAAGAAAGUGACGGUACCUGACUAAGAAGCCCCGGCUAACUACGUGCCAGCAGCCGCGGU
rnacentral:rRNA from 1 species